CAGCCGCCGCGGGAAAACGUAGGUGGCAAGCGUUGUCUGGAAUUAUUGGGCGUAAAGGGCUCGCAGGCGGUUUCUUAAGUCUGAUGUGAAAGCCCCCGGCUCAACCGGGGAGGGUCAUUGGAAACUGGGAAACUUGAGUGCAGAAGAGGAGAGUGGAAUUCCACGUGUAGCGGUGAAAUGCGUAGAGAUGUGGAGGAACACCAGUGGCGAAGGCGACUCUCUGGUCUGUAACUGACGCUGAGGAGCGAAAGCGUGGGGAGCGAACAGGAUUAGAUACCCGCGUAGUCCCUGUCUCUUAUAC
rnacentral:rRNA from 1 species